rnacentral:rRNA from 1 species
GGUUAAGCGACUAAGCGUACACGGUGGAUGCCCUGGCAGUCAGAGGCGAUGAAGGACGUGCUAAUCUGCGAUAAGCGUCGGUAAGGUGAUAUGAACCGUUAUAACCGGCGAUUUCCGAAUGGGGAAACCCAGUGUGUUUCGACACACUAUCAUUAACUGAAUCCAUAGGUUAAUGAGGCGAACCGGGGGAACUGAAACAUCUAAGUACCCCGAGGAAAAGAAAUCAACCGAGAUUCCCCCAGUAGCGGCGAGCGAACGGGGAGCAGCCCAGAGCCUGAAUCAGUAUGUGUGUUAGUGGAAGCGUCUGGAAAGGCGCGCGAUACAGGGUGACAGCCCCGUACACAAAAAUGCACAUGCUGUGAGCUCGAUGAGUAGGGCGGGACACGUGGUAUCCUGUCUGAAUAUGGGGGGACCAUCCUCCAAGGCUAAAUACUCCUGACUGACCGAUAGUGAACCAGUACCGUGAGGGAAAGGCGAAAAGAACCCCGGCGAGGGGAGUGAAAAAGAACCUGAAACCGUGUACGUACAAGCAGUGGGAGCACGCUUAGGCGUGUGACUGCGUACCUUUUGUAUAAUGGGUCAGCGACUUAUAUUCUGUAGCAAGGUUAACCGAAUAGGGGAGCCGAAGGGAAACCGAGUCUUAACUGGGCGUUAAGUUGCAGGGUAUAGACCCGAAACCCGGUGAUCUAGCCAUGGGCAGGUUGAAGGUUGGGUAACACUAACUGGAGGACCGAACCGACUAAUGUUGAAAAAUUAGCGGAUGACUUGUGGCUGGGGGUGAAAGGCCAAUCAAACCGGGAGAUAGCUGGUUCUCCCCGAAAGCUAUUUAGGUAGCGCCUCGUGAAUUCAUCUCCGGGGGUAGAGCACUGUUUCGGCAAGGGGGUCAUCCCGACUUACCAACCCGAUGCAAACUGCGAAUACCGGAGAAUGUUAUCACGGGAGACACACGGCGGGUGCUAACGUCCGUCGUGAAGAGGGAAACAACCCAGACCGCCAGCUAAGGUCCCAAAGUCAUGGUUAAGUGGGAAACGAUGUGGGAAGGCCCAGACAGCCAGGAUGUUGGCUUAGAAGCAGCCAUCAUUUAAAGAAAGCGUAAUAGCUCACUGGUCGAGUCGGCCUGCGCGGAAGAUGUAACGGGGCUAAACCAUGCACCGAAGCUGCGGCAGCGACGCUGAUGCGUUGUUGGGUAGGGGAGCGUUCUGUAAGCCUGCGAAGGUGUGCUGUGAGGCAUGCUGGAGGUAUCAGAAGUGCGAAUGCUGACAUAAGUAACGAUAAAGCGGGUGAAAAGCCCGCUCGCCGGAAGACCAAGGGUUCCUGUCCAACGUUAAUCGGGGCAGGGUGAGUCGACCCCUAAGGCGAGGCCGAAAGGCGUAGUCGAUGGGAAACAGGUCAAUAUUCCUGUACUUGGUGUUACUGCGAAGGGGGGACGGAGAAGGCUAUGUUGGCCGGGCGACGGUUGUCCCGGUUUAAGCGUGUAGGCUGGUUUUCCAGGCAAAUCCGGAAAACUAAGGCUGAGGCGUGAUGACGAGGCACUACGGUGCUGAAGCAACAAAUGCCCUGCUUCCAGGAAAAGCCUCUAAGCAUCAGGUAACAUCAAAUCGUACCCCAAACCGACACAGGUGGUCAGGUAGAGAAUACCAAGGCGCUUGAGAGAACUCGGGUGAAGGAACUAGGCAAAAUGGUGCCGUAACUUCGGGAGAAGGCACGCUGAUAUGUAGGUGAAGUCCCUCGCGGAUGGAGCUGAAAUCAGUCGAAGAUACCAGCUGGCUGCAACUGUUUAUUAAAAACACAGCACUGUGCAAACACGAAAGUGGACGUAUACGGUGUGACGCCUGCCCGGUGCCGGAAGGUUAAUUGAUGGGGUCAGCGCAAGCGAAGCUCUUGAUCGAAGCCCCGGUAAACGGCGGCCGUAACUAUAACGGUCCUAAGGUAGCGAAAUUCCUUGUCGGGUAAGUUCCGACCUGCACGAAUGGCGUAAUGAUGGCCAGGCUGUCUCCACCCGAGACUCAGUGAAAUUGAACUCGCUGUGAAGAUGCAGUGUACCCGCGGCAAGACGGAAAGACCCCGUGAACCUUUACUAUAGCUUGACACUGAACAUUGAGCCUUGAUGUGUAGGAUAGGUGGGAGGCUUGGAAGUGUGGACGCCAGUCUGCAUGGAGCCGACCUUGAAAUACCACCCUUUAAUGUUUGAUGUUCUAACGUGGACCCGUGAUCCGGGUUGCGGACAGUGUCUGGUGGGUAGUUUGACUGGGGCGGUCUCCUCCUAAAGAGUAACGGAGGAGCACGAAGGUUGGCUAAUCCUGGUCGGACAUCAGGAGGUUAGUGCAAUGGCAUAAGCCAGCUUGACUGCGAGCGUGACGGCGCGAGCAGGUGCGAAAGCAGGUCAUAGUGAUCCGGUGGUUCUGAAUGGAAGGGCCAUCGCUCAACGGAUAAAAGGUACUCCGGGGAUAACAGGCUGAUACCGCCCAAGAGUUCAUAUCGACGGCGGUGUUUGGCACCUCGAUGUCGGCUCAUCACAUCCUGGGGCUGAAGUAGGUCCCAAGGGUAUGGCUGUUCGCCAUUUAAAGUGGUACGCGAGCUGGGUUUAGAACGUCGUGAGACAGUUCGGUCCCUAUCUGCCGUGGGCGCUGGAGAACUGAGGGGGGCUGCUCCUAGUACGAGAGGACCGGAGUGGACGCAUCACUGGUGUUCGGGUUGUCAUGCCAAUGGCACUGCCCGGUAGCUAAAUGCGGAAGAGAUAAGUGCUGAAAGCAUCUAAGCACGAAACUUGCCCCGAGAUGAGUUCUCCCUGACUCCUUGAGAGUCCUGAAGGAACGUUGAAGACGACGACGUUGAUAGGCCGGGUGUGUAAGCGCAGCGAUGCGUUGAGCUAACCGGUACUAAUGAACCGUGAGGCUUAACCUU